rnacentral:piRNA from 1 species
CUUGAAUUCAUUUCAUGGGUGACAAGUAG